CAUUUUCAUGUUUGAUCAAAAAAGUUGCAUUCGAAUUAUUUUAGUACACAAUUUUUUUUCAAUGCAUAGCAAGAUUUUGAGCUUAAAUAUUCUUUGCCAAAUAUCAAAGCAUUGGUAUAUUUACAUUUUGCCUAAAAAAUUAAGUCUUUGCUCCGAAGUAUGCCUCGUCUUGAUCUUUCAUUGAUGUUGUCUCUCACGUUCUUGAUAUUGAUCUUUUUGGCAUUAUCUCUUAAGCUUUUUGUCUCCAAGAAUUUGACUUGAAUACAUGGCUUUCACUUUGAUCUUCAUUUGAAGUCUGAUAAUACAUGAUUGAUUUGAACAUUGAACCAUCAUCACUAAAAAGAAUUUGUUAGAAAUAAAAAUAAUCUUGUUUGUUAUGAUCAAAACAUUGAGGAUUAAGUCAACCAUAUGCCAACAUUACGGACUUACUAACUCAAGUAAAAAAAAUGUAGGCGUGAAGCUUAAACUGAAUAAGUGCAAUAAUUAUUUUCUAUAAAAGAAAAGCAAAUUUUACAAGGGUUAGAUCUCUAGUAUUUGGUCAUCAUUAACUCAUACUUGAAAGUCACAGCACUCCACAUAAUCUUUUUACGUGCACAGAAUCAUUACAAUCUUAAAUAAUUUCUUUCAUCGGUUAGAACACCCCAAAUUAUUAUAUAUAUGGUUAAAGGAUGUUGUGAAUCAUGGCUUAAAGAAUUAAGCACCUUAGUCAUCUAUUUAGCCUAUGCAUAUGAAUCUUCAUAUUCCUGUACAACACUAAACUUAAUUAUCGUUCAUAAAUAUUGUCACG
rnacentral:lncRNA from 1 species